rnacentral:lncRNA from 1 species
AAAAGCAUGAUUGGUAGACAGACCAACUCAGUGGGGUUAUAGAGUGAUCAGCCAAAUAAGUGGGAAUUUUAACAGUUCAGUGAUAUGUGUAUAUCUGCUCAUUUUAUCUCUUUCCAAAUGAUUAGUUCUUCAACCUCUGUUCCAGCUUCUCUUUAAAGGCAGUGAUUCUCCAAGGGAGAAUGCAUGCUGACCUUCUCUGAUGGGCCACAUCUUUCUCUCUGCAGUUUGCUCAGGUUGGACUGUGAUGUCAGCUUGCAGCCUUCAGCCUAUCAAAUUAGCACUGCUACGUGCUGUUUAGGUACUGUGCUGCAUCCCACAGGUCUGGCUGUUCUUCCUAGCAGUAAGAAGCCACUGCACCAGAAAGGCUACCUACGUGUUGGAGUAUGGGCACACCGAGUAUUCCUGCCAUGGAAGUUUUUCUGAGUGGCAAGGUCAAUAGAAGAUGCCAAAGAGAUAACAGAUUGAGGCAAGAUCAGCAGAGAAGAAUGUGAGUUGGCUGUUUUAGUUCUGCUUCUCCUCUGAGCUAUACAUACUUAGCAUCGUAACACCAAAGAGUGUAGCACUGAAUGGGUAGCACAAACAUUGAUUUCAAGAUCAUGCGAUGAGAAACUUUGCUGCUCAUUGCAAACUGUGAUACUUAAGAAACUCCAGGAAGGACUCCUCUAGGUGAUGUCUAGGAGCCAUUUGAGAAAUGUGGAUAUUGAUGCAGUGGCACAAAAGCAUUUUGCUCUCAAAUCUGCCACAGAGUACGUUUUUUUACAACUUUAAGCAUCAGCAGAUGACCCAUCUAAAAUUGGAUUGGGGAAUAUCUGUCUCCUGUUCCUGUAUGUUUAGGAAGAGUGGGCUCAAAAACUUGAAGUUGGUUUCUUUUAAAGGCCUCAAACUACCUGAGAAGAAAACCAAUAGAAGGGGAUCCUGACACUUGUCAGGAGAGAUGAAUGCCCAAUAAUAAUAAUAAAAAAAAAAAAGAAAAAAAAAGAAAAAAAAAU